GUUAGAGGCAUGGUAUUGAUUGUGUUUGUUAGUUGUACAAUGCAAUCAUAGACAAGUCACACAUAUUAAAACAGAUGGUUCCUGCCAACAGGGUCUGUAUAGUCAUCAGAUUUUCUGUGUGAUGGCUCCAUAUAUA
rnacentral:snoRNA from 1 species